ACUACCAGCUAAGGUCCCUAAAUCUUACUUAAGUGGAAAACGAUGUGAAGUUACUUAAACAACCAGGAGGUUGGCUUAGAAGCAGCCAUCCUUUAAAGAAAGCGUAAUAGCUCACUGGUCUAGUGAUUUUGCGCGGAAAAUAUAACGGGGCUAAAGUAAGUACCGAAGCUGUAGACUUGCACACAACUUAGAUUAUUUAAGUUUAGAAUAUGAGAAACUAAGUUAUAUGUUUAGUUAUAUUUUUACUGAUUUUUAUAGAGUAAAGAUAGAAAUAAAACUUAGUAAAAUCAGUAAAAAUAUUCUUAGGCUAAAGUUAAGUAGUUUAAGUUGUGUGCAAGUGGUAGGAGAGCGUUCUAUUUGCGUCGAAGGUAUACCGGUAAGGAGUGCUGGAGCGAAUAGAAGUGAGCAUGCAGGCAUGAGUAGCGAUAAUUAAUGUGAGAAUCAUUAACGCCGUAAACCCAAGGUUUCCUACGCGAUGCUCGUCAUCGUAGGGUUAGUCGGGUCCUAAGUCGAGUCCGAAAGGGGUAGACGAUGGCAAAUUGGUUAAUAUUCCAAUACCAACAUUAGUGUGCGAUGGAAGGACGCUUAGGGCUAAGGGGGCUAGCGGAUGGAAGUGCUAGUCUAAGGUCGUAGGAGGUUAUACAGGCAAAUCCGUAUAACAAUACUCCGAGAACUGAAAGGCUUUUUGAAGUCUUCGGAUGGAUAGAAGAACCCCUGAUGCCGUCGAGCCAAGAAAAGUUUCUAAGUUUAGCUAAUGUUGCCCGUACCGUAAACCGACACAGGUGGGUGGGAUGAGUAUUCUAAGGCGCGUGGAAGAACUCUCUUUAAGGAACUCUGCAAAAUAGCACCGUAUCUUCGGUAUAAGGUGUGGUUAGCUUUGUAUUAGGAUUUACUCCGAAAGCAAGGAAACUUACAACAAAGAGUCCCUCCCGACUGUUUACCAAAAACACAGCACUCUGCUAACUCGUAAGAGGAUGUAUAGGGUGUGACGCCUGCCCGGUGCUCGAAGGUUAAUUGAUGGGGUUAGCAUUAGCGAAGCUCUUGAUCGAAGCCCGAGUAAACGGCGGCCGUAACUAUAACGGUCCUAAGGUAGCGAAAUUCCUUGUCGGUUAAAUACCGACCUGCAUGAAUGGCGUAACGAGAUGGGAGCUGUCUCAAAGAGGGAUCCAGUGAAAUUGUAGUGGAGGUGAAAAUUCCUCCUACCCGCGGCAAGACGGAAAGACCCCGUGGACCUUUACUACAGCUUGACACUGCUACUUGGAUAAGAAUGUGCAGGAUAGGUGGGAGGCUUUGAGUAUAUGACGCCAGUUGUAUAUGAGCCAUUGUUGAGAUACCACUCUUUCUUAUUUGGGUAGCUAACCAGCUUGAGUUAUCCUCAAGUGGGACAAUGUCUGGUGGGUAGUUUGACUGGGGCGGUCGCCUCCCAAAUAAUAACGGAGGCUUACAAAGGUUGGCUCAGAACGGUUGGAAAUCGUUCGUAGAGUAUAAAGGUAUAAGCCAGCUUAACUGCAAGACAUACAAGUCAAGCAGAGACGAAAGUCGGUCUUAGUGAUCCGGUGGUUCUGUGUGGAAGGGCCAUCGCUCAAAGGAUAAAAGGUACCCCGGGGAUAACAGGCUGAUCUCCCCCAAGAGCUCACAUCGACGGGGAGGUUUGGCACCUCGAUGUCGGCUCAUCGCAUCCUGGGGCUGGAGCAGGUCCCAAGGGUAUGGCUGUUCGCCAUUUAAAGCGGUACGCGAGCUGGGUUCAGAACGUCGUGAGACAGUUCGGUCCCUAUCUGCCGUGGGCGUAAGAAGAUUGAAGAGAUUUGACCCUAGUACGAGAGGACCGGGUUGAACAAACCACUGGUGUAGCUGUUGUUCUGCCAAGAGCAUCGCAGCGUAGCUAAGUUUGGAAAGGAUAAACGCUGAAAGCAUCUAAGCGUGAAGCCAACUCUAAGAUGAAUCUUCUCUAAGCUCUCUAGAAGACUACUAGUUUGAUAGGCUGGGUGUGUAAUGGAUGAAAGUCCUUUAGCUGACCAGUACUAAUAGAGCGUUUGGCUUAUCUUUAAUAAAGCAU
rnacentral:rRNA from 1 species